CCUACGGGGGGCUGCAGUGGGGAAUAUUGGACAAUGGGGGCAACCCUGAUCCAGCCAUGCCGCGUGUGUGAAGAAGGCCCUCGGGUUGUAAAGCACUUUCAGUGAGGAAGAACGCCUGGUGGUUAAUACCCAUCAGGAAAGACAUCACUCACAGAAGAAGCACCGGCUAACUCCGUGCCAGCAGCCGCGGUAAUACGGAGGGUGCGAGCGUUAAUCGGAAUUACUGGGCGUAAAGCGCGCGUAGGUGGCUUGAUAAGCCGGUUGUGAAAGCCCCGGGCUCAACCUGGGAACGGCAUCCGGAACUGUCAAGCUAGAGUGCAGGAGAGGAAGGUAGAAUUCCCGGUGUAGCGGUGAAAUGCGUAGAGAUCGGGAGGAAUACCAGUGGCGAAGGCGGCCUUCUGGACUGACACUGACACUGAGGUGCGAAGGCGUGGGUAGCAAACAGGAUUAGAUACCCGAGUAGUC
rnacentral:rRNA from 1 species